UACGUAGGGGGCGAGCGUUGUCCGGAUUUAUUGGGCGUAAAGAGCGUGUAGGCGGCCAGGUAGGUCUGCUGUGAAAACUCGAGGCUCAACCUCGAGACGUCGGCGGAAACCAUCUGGCUAGAGUCCGGAAGAGGAGAGUGGAAUUCCUGGUGUAGCGGUGAAAUGCGCAGAUAUCAGGAAGAACACCCGUGGCGAAGGCGGCUCACUGGCCCGGAACUGACGCUGAGACGCGAAAGCGUGGGGAGCAAACAGG
rnacentral:rRNA from 1 species